UUCCCCUUGCCUGGGACUACCACAUGUCUUCGCAGCGCACUGAUUCGCGCCUGGGGGGCGUGAAUUGAUCCGAGCGGAGGGAAGAGGCUCAGUUGUGGGCGGAAGGGCCCGCUUUGCGCAGGGACAGCCACAGCAACGUGGCAGGUGACGCGGAGAGGGCAGGUGGUCGAGGCCGGCACGACUCACGAUUACAUUUCACAGGGUCCACCGCGCCUCUGGAUGACAUCUAGCCCCGGCCUACAUUUCCUGGAACCUUCUCCUCCUCGAGGCUACCACGGGCCCCCAUUCGUGCUUUGGCUAAAUCUCUGGUGCCCAGGGUGAGUGAACUCAGGGUCUCCUGAGGCCCCGCAGUUCAGGGCAACUCCAGUCACCCGGCCGAAUCUACCGCCCUGCUUGGCGCGGGCCGCGACUUUCGGGGCUUUGGCCUACAUUACCUCUGUGCCCAAGCCUACUCUCUGUCCCAGUUCCCUGACUAGGAGCAGGGCUACGGCUUCGCGGCUGCGGUGGUCCGGUGUCCUCCGGGGAGCUUCGCUCAUGCAGCUUGAAGCCGGCCGAUCCCACCUACGAGAGGCGGUGUUCCUGUCUGAGUGAAUGAUGGGAGCUAUGACACUGAGCCUGUGCUGUGCAAUGUGGUAGCUACUGGCCACAGGCAGCUAUUGAGCCCUUGAAAUGUAACUGAUCAGAAUUGAGAUGUGCUAGAUUGGUGAUGUUCAGGGGUAUGGCUGUAGACUUUUCUCAGGAAGAGUGGGAAUGCCUGGACCCUGCUCAGAAGGAUUUGUACAGAGAUGUGAUGUUACAGAACUAUAGCAGUCCGA